UACUAAUGGCCAGGCAGCUGGAACUAACGAUUAAUUUUUUUGGAGGAAGGUAAAAAUAUGGUAUCUGGGAAAUUUGAUAACUCAUUUACGGCAAAAGAUAGGUAAAAUUAUGGGAGGACUUCGAUAUUUUACCGAACGCCGAUGACAUUGGUGCUCUAAAACCGCAGAUAAAUAGAGAAAAGGAAAAAUCAGUAGCCAAUUUCUAAUGCGUUCAAUCGUAAAAAUGAAAACUUACGAAGAUUGUGUUUCGUUGCAUUCAUUGACGCUUAAAUCCAGUCGUUUAUUUGGCCUACGAUUAUUUCGAUUUAUUCUGAUUACAAAAAUAACAUUUUUAAGGGCAGCAAGUUUCUUCGUCAGCAUUUUUAUCUUCUUUAUUCAAAUCAAAAAUUUACAUCUUCACUGAUUUCGAUUUGGGUCGGAUUUCAACCAAGUUCUUUCCCGAGAUACGAAUUAACGUUUCCGGUCAAGGUAUAAAUAGAAUAAUACGACAAAAAAAUUUCCAUUGGGAUUCGAUCGUGGCAACGAAUAUCGUUUUAUUCCGAACUGCGCGAUGCCAAAGCAUCCAUUUUCCUUCUUUUGUUAAAAUACGAAUAUUCCGAACUUAAAUCGAUAAAAUUUAUUAUAAGCGAAACUAAGGCCAGCGAUAUGGAAUUUAUUUAGUUGUACUAGCCGAAAUUUCGGUAUCUAUAUCGAUACGGACAAUUUCCACUAUAAAGAUAUGCCGUCUGGUGGUGUUUCAAAACAAAUACAAGAAUUGAAACUAAACUACACAUUACGCUGUGUGUAAAUUAUAUACAGGUAUAAUUAUAUAUAAUAGUUAGUAUAUAUAAGUGUACUGUACCUUUAUUAUUAUAGAAGAAAAUGAUCCAGAGAUGUACUUUGUACAGAUUUCCUAAAUGUAAAAGGAAGAAAAUCUGGCAAGGACUCUGGCUCAACUUUCUUGGCAUUGGAACAGGUUAAAGGAACCAUCAAGAAGACCCAUAAUAGUAGGUUACAAAAUAGUAGGUUAUAAAAUUUAAGUAAUGACAAAAUGUUGAAAAAAAUAAUUUCG